UACGUAGGGACCAAGCGUUGUUCGGAUUUACUGGGCGUAAAGGGCGCGUAGGCGGCAAUUCAAGUCAUCUGUGAAAUCUCCGGGCUUAACUCGGAACGGUCAGAUGAUACUGCUUUGCUAGAGUGCGGAAGGGGCAAUCGGAAUUCUUGGUGUAGCGGUGAAAUGCGUAGAUAUCAAGAGGAACACCUGAGGUGAAGACGGGUUGCUGGGCCGACACUGACGCUGAUAGCGCGGAAGCCAGGGGAGCAAACGGG
rnacentral:rRNA from 1 species